UUUAUUGGAAGGAAGUUCCACACAGCAGGGUCUGGUAAGUUUCCUUUAAUCCUUUCUUAUGUCUUUAAUUGUGAUUAUAUAUAUGAUUAUAUACAAACCUAUUCACUGUGUGACCUGGUUUUCAUUCAUUCUUCAUAUUUCUAGAUGAAACAUUAACGGUACAUUAUCAUUUUCUACCAGUACCGUUUUAAAUCCUUCAGUCAAACUCCACCAAAUUUUAUGGUUCUGUUGGGGGAUUGUGAGAAAGGUGCGUGAUGUGAGGGACCACUCAUGUGUGUCCAGAUGGACCUGGAAGAGAGUUCACAAUGCGAGACAUGUGACUUUUUUUUUGUUCCCCUGAGCAACAGGGCCACACAGGAGCUGCUGGUGGUAAGAAACAGUAACUUAUGAGUGAGUCCCCAUUUGUAACACAGGACACGAAUUAAUUAAACCCACAAUGAACAAUUUAAACACACUUUUGGAGUUGCAUACUGUAUUAUGAAACUUGAGGCCUUUUAAAACGGUUUUAAACUGUGUGUGCUGUCCUACUGCUGCCACUUGGGGGCGCUGCAUUUAUUAUGCAACGAGUCUAAUAAGCUGCACUGGUAAAGCUGACUGCCCCACAGCUUAAUGCAUGAAUGAAGGCUCUGCACCUGUUCCUUCAGGUUGAAUGCAGCUCUAACACCAUAAUCUGUCUUUCAAGUAUAAGUUAAACGAUCAUUUCAGCAUCCUAUAGCAUUUUCCCAUUGCGUGAUUAUUCUCCUCCAUAGUGACCCAGUCCGGGGAGUCAGUCCUGCAGACACUCUGAGCCCAAAGCACCUGCAGCUCCUGAGGAGUGCAUUCAUGUGUGCAGAGGCCGACGGGCUCGAAGGAAGUGAGAGAAAAGAGAGAAGCAGAGAGCCUGGAAUGAAGCUGGAGGAGUUCAGGGAUGUUCUGAGGUCUGUGAUUGGUCCGGACGUGGAGGACGCUUGGGUUGAGAGAUUCUUCAAUGAGGUGAAGACAAAGUCAAAGUCAGCAUUGCAGCUCAGUGUGAAUAACACUGCUAAUUGCAUUACAGCUAAUUACUCACUGAUCCACGUCACAAUGAUGUCCCUUCUCCACGUCCAGGUGGAUGUGAGCGGCUCCGGGCGGGUGUCAUGGCAGCAGCUGUGUUCCUACCUGCUCCUGGAGUACACUGAGAGAGCCUCCAUCCCCACGCCCGCCGUCCUGGACCCCCGGCCCGGACCCCGCACUGCCCUCACAACAAGGAACUGAGGAACGGGGACAUUUCCACCCACCAGUGCGUGAGAAGAAGAAGGCUCGCAGCGGCGCCAUCAAGGUGCGGAGCCCACUGAACGGCCUAAACCUGCACAAGCUGCGAGCCGGUCACCGACUCGGAGGUCGCCGGCCUGACGUGUCUCCGUGGCAACCGGCUGCUGGCCGUGGGGUGGAGCCAGCGCAUCGUUCAGGAUGACAUCGCAGCUGCAAAGGUAACAUUAAACAGAUCAUGGACAUCCCCCUGUUUGCAUGUGGUGGAUGAUGUCAUAUUUUGUAUAUUCAUUUCAGUACAGUGAGUUGUUGAUUAAUAAUAAUUUAAAACUGGCCUCUUGAAUAUGAUAAAUGUGACUUGUUACUGUUGUCUAGACUCUUCUCAGAGCACAGAGGCUCCACAGACUGCACCAGCGUGCACCCACACGUUUAUACAGCUCUGUACAGGAAGUCAAACCAUAUACACUGUGUCUAUAGAGACUGAGCCAACGUCUGCAUAUUUUAACACUUCACUUCUCAACCUUUGACUCCCAUCUGCUCCGUGGUUAGUUUCAUCAGUACAGCGGCCACAUUCAGGGAUUUGCUCAGUCCAUGUUUCCUCAGAAAACACCGCGAGCGAAGCCCGACCGGCGAAAAGCGGUCGAAUAUCGGUGAAUGACGUCAGCUUCCACUCACGGGGACAGAGAAGAUCCGCAGCGGGACUUUUUCUUUAAACGCUGACCGUGCUGAGGUUCCAGACUUUGAAAGUGUGGCGUCAACAUUUUACCCCCGGGGUGUAAACAAAACCAGCAAAGCCACAAAAGGAGUGGAGCACACCCAAUUACGCUGCUUUGGCCCAUUUAUGCAGCGUCACAGGGUUUAACGAUGGGGAGGUGGUCGUGUGGAGGCUGGAGACCCGGUCCUGCAGCGCCGGGGUUCUGGCGGCGUCGCAGGGCGGACGUGUGACCGCGUGCAGCGUCGGCGUGGAGACGCGCCCGUACGGUGAGGGAGGGACGCAGCGGACGGAGCGGUGGACGAGCAGCCGUCAGCCCGGGCUCGGGUUUGAAGCGGGCGGCGCUGGGCUGAACAGUGGACCGGGCCUGUCGCCGGCACCAUUCCUAUCCACCCGCAGCUAUGUCACUUUCCAGAUCCCAUCUGUGUUUAGUGGUGUUGGACCCAUGCAUGCGACUGCUGUGAAUAUGUAUGAACGUGUGUGUGUGUGUGUGUGUGUGUGUGUGUGUGUGCAGGUUUUAUAUAUGCGUCCAUCAUUUCACAGAGAGACAACACUUGAUCUAUAAGUGAUUUGAGUGCAUGCAGCUGUGUGCAGCUGCUGAGCCCAGGUGGGUUCUACGCCGUGCUGAGCGUGAGCACGGAUCGGUCCAGGAACCACAUCCUGGCUGCAGCGGACCCCGCAGGCGGCCUCCACAUCUGGGACGUCUCCACCUUCGGACUGGACGUCCAGCGCCAGGUGAGCUGCUGGGACGUCGGCGCCGGGUCCAGCGCUUCUCCGGUUCUUCAUGGUCUUCCUCCACACAGCCUCGUCCGCUGGGAGGCUCAUGAGGGAGAGACGGUCAGCGUGGAGGUGACUGAGGUGUGUGACACAGUGUUGGUUCUAACCGGGGACCAACACAGCUGGACUGUGGACGAGACACGGGGACCAUUUGGGUUCCUUCAAACAUGGAGCCACGUGGAACCUGACCGACCUCAUGGUCAUUUGUGACCACUGUGUGUCUUUGGGGAAACUGGAUCGUUUCAUUCCUGAGUCAGGAACAAAGUCCAGUCAAUGUCAACAGCACAGAUCCCAAUGAGUUUAGGCCAAAUCUGAUGGAGUGCGUGCUGUGUGGAGGGCUCACCGUGGCCCAGUGCUGCCUGGAGAACGUUCCCCUGGUGUUUCAGCAGCUGCUGGAGUCUUUAGCAGAAACAGUGCGGUUGGAGGUCAUAAACGCUGGCUUGGCUCAGACCUUUGUUAUGUUAUUUCUGUAUUUCCAGCACAUGUGGAGUGAAACGGGGCCGUAAAGGAAGGAGCUGUCUAGAGUCAUUUACUGCAGGAGGACAAGAAGUAAAAGGCGGCGCAGGCACACGCUCAGAUACAUAAAUACAUGGGACUCGUUACGUUGUGUUUGUGUGGUCCUGUCACCAGCGUGUAUUGACUCAGAGACGAGUGGUGGCGGUGAUGCAAGUGUAACUGCAGUGUUGGGAAAACGUCAGCUCUGCAACUCACCUAUGGCUUCACACUGGAUGAGGAAGUAAAGUUCCUUAAAAUAAGCCGUUUGAGUGUUUACGUUUUCAAAUCAGUUUUGAUUUCCCUCAUUGAUCAGCCUUCAAAUCGAAAAGGCUGAAUUAACAAGAACAAGAUAAAUAGGAAGAUACAAGGUGUGAGGACGAACGGCGAUUAGGUCAGAGGGAACAGGAAGUGACUCAAACAGGAAGUGGCGCACUGACAGUCACACACUCAACAUCACAACAAAGGUUUCAGGACCAACGCUGAACUAGUGUAUUCCCACGAACAGGCGACCUUCAAAGCGUACGAUUCUGUCACCCACAGGAAACGGGACGACGGUGCGGCGGCGAGAACCGGUCCUGACCCGCAGAACGCAGAGGGGGCGGGUCUCAGGGCGACCGGGGGAGGUUCUGACCCGCUGUACACGCGUGGGCGAACAGGAACCUGCCGAGGACGUCCAAGUUAAUUAAACCCCCCUCAUUCAAUCAUGUCCAAUUUCACCACAUCACGAAGAGGAGCGCAGUCGGAGCGUUCUUCGCAUUCUCCUGCUGAGGCCGGUUGGGGAACAUUCAGGUUCUGUUCUGUUCUGCUCCAGGGACACGGGCCAUUUUUUUUUUAAUAAGCGCUCCAAUACUUCUGCGAGACGUUUCCUCCACUUUUCCUCUCCCUGCCGGCGCCGCCACUCGGGACCGGCCAAAAUAAGCCAUUAGCCGUGUUUUCUGUGCGGCCGCACCCGCGCAGACUCACUUUAGCGCGUCUCCGUGUGCGCGGUGACGGGCCGACGCACGCUCGCCCUCACCUCAGUGCUCCGUCUGCACGCGCACCCGCUCCCCCAGUGUCUGUGUGAGCUCCAGAUGUGCCACAUCAGCCGCCGCAGUCACCGCGGAUGUGACCGGCGCUGCCGGUGAUUGUUGCACUGAUUGGAGAAUCCUUUUUAAAUCUGUAAUAAAAUAUAAAGUCAAAUCA
ensembl:lncRNA